GUGAGCCAACCUCCCAAAGCCGCUGUUGCAGCAGCAGAGAGAAGCGGAGUAUCAAUCUCAGGCUGUCCACGGUUUCCAGGGUGAAAUGUUCCCGUAGGAAGCAUAACAAACCCACUAAUUAAAAUAGUUGAGGAAAACAGAUCAACCGAAAAAGAAAGCGACAGGAGCCUAGUAAUAAUAAUAGCCUAAGCAUUGAGAACGGAAGAAAAGAGAACAACAAAAUCGUUCCGGAAGAUAACCCAGACGCGCUCAAUAGGCUCUCGCCUAAAGACAUAGCGGAACGAUUCUUGGGGAACCUGGUCGAGUAAAGGAUGUAAAACCGUACUAACCGAUGCAUCCCAUACAAAAUGCUUAUGUGAUCGUGUAUCUACCUUCGCCAUUUUGGCACAGCAACCAAGAGAAAUAACCAUGGAGUACUCAGCGGUCCCCUCUGUGACUUUGAUCAUUGGUUGUGGUCUGUCCUGUCUCGCCUUGAUCCUGUUGCUCGUGGUCUAUGCUAUUCUAUGGAGAUAUAUCCGGUCUGAGCGGUCCAUCAUCCUAAUCAACUUCUGCCUGUCAAUCAUCUCCUCCAACCUCCUCAUCCUGGUUGGACAGACACAGACACACAAUGCGGUAAGAUUUCAUGUUGUACUGCAUGCACUUCAACUGCUUUACUCAAACACACGACUCACAAUGCAGGUUGUGUUUAUAUGUUGUAUUGGAAGAGACAAAUCAAAAUCAAAUCAAAUUUUAUUUGUCACAUACACAUGGUUAGCAGAUGUUAAUGCGAGUGUAGCGAAAUGCUUGUGCUUCUAGUUCCGAUAAUGCAGUA